rnacentral:misc_RNA from 1 species
GGGCAGUGAAAUUUAUUGAAAUAAUUUAAAAAUAUUAGAAAUUAAAUUAACGAGUAAGAGGACCUAAAAUAAAUUAGAUUAGUUAUUUAGCAGAAAGAAUUGAAAUGAACUGGACUGAUGUUAAAAAUUUAUCUAUUAUGAAAUAACUCUGAGAGCCUUAGUUAUUAUGAAAUAAUCAAAAAUAACCUGAAAGUAUUGAAUUAAACGAUACAAAAGAUUAGUGAUAGAAUUAUAAUUUCAAUAAAUGUUACAAUGAACUAUGUUUUAUUUUCAUCUGUAUUUUGUAUAUUAUUUUCUUUGUUAUAUUA